AAUCGCGUGAAUUCGGUGGACAUUUAUCGUUGUGGAAGCUAUUCUUGUACAAUACUGGGAGCCUUGGAAUGUGCCGCACGUCGGAAUCCGUUGCAGGAUACAAUCAGACUGACAGGAGUUUGAAGACGGGGUUUUUAUUGGCGAGUACAUCACAAAGUAAAGAUUAUCUUAAUAGAUUGUGAAUAUUCUGUGUCAGAAGUAAUCGAGGUUAAGCAAGCGUGGAGACGUGAUCGUGAAACGGAAACGGGCGCGUAGCAACACAAUUUUUUUGUAAUGCAGAGAGAGUAAUUGACCCAGAAGCAUUUCCAGCUUCACUAAGGCAGGUGGACGAGCAUGGGCCCAGCCAGAAGAGUCUAUAUUUGCUAACAGCUGCCCGAACACCUACGAACAGACUUAACAGCUCAAAAACAUCUGCUUCGCAGAUGAAUCUGUUAGCGUAUCGAUAUCGCGACCCACUAUGACCCAGCGAAAAUUCAGUGGGAUAUUGACUUAAGUUGCACGACGAACUCUUCAGCGAUUUCGCGAGUACCUGUUUGGAUGCUGUCGCCAAUAGCUCCCAAAGUAAUGAAAGUAGAUCUCGUGAAUCCGUUGUGUUUACGUGUCUACGGCGGCCACGAGAAGCAAGCUAAUGUGCUGCGCCGUCAUUCCAAAAUAGUGCUUACGGAUUUCCUAUGUUUCUGGUUGGAUUCGAGACCCAGAUCAUCGUGAAAAUCAAUAUUCACUCACAUACGACGACGUUCUGGCGGCAAUCCUGCAAAAUUACGAUUCUACCCACUGGAAUUUCUUCGAAUUUCUAGUCUUAAACGUAAUUAAAAUUAUUUUUACUGUUUAAUUUAAUGUUUUUAUUAUCAUUAUAUUUUUCGCGACGUUUGGAAUUCACAGUUUUUGUGGUCAUGGACAACUGAUUAAAAUUAGUUGUAACUACU